CUCCCUGGCAAUGGUCAACCAGACACCUUGUUGGUGGUGGUGUUCUUACACCAGUCAGGGCACAGCAGAGGCCACUCCUUUGUUUAUCCUAGCUUGAUGCCUGGUUUGCUGGCCAAAACUGUUUUAUGCCUAGAACUCAUAA